UUUAUUUAUUUUAAUAUAGAGACACCAAGUUGGCCACUUGAGAGAACAGCGUGCAGGGAGAUUUCUGCUAAUGUCCUGCUGGGUGAAGAAUGCCUUUGGUUGAAGGCUGGCAUUAACUCUGUGACAGGUGCAUGGUGAACAAUGGAUAAAGUACAUACGCUGAAUGAAAGAAUGAGCAUGCAAAUCACACAGACCUUCACAGGCAUUGUACAGGUUGUGCCUUGUAAAAGGGUCCCCCGCAACAGGGGCUGUGUCUCCAGGAACUUGAAGUUGACAGAGUGAUCCUUGAAUUUGGAGUCAGGAUGUCUGGGUUCCAACGCGGGGCUCUGCCGUUACUAGCUGCCUGCUGGCGGUGGGGUGAGACUCU